CACAUUGUUCCCUAGAGUCCUAGUUUCCUACGCUUAAUCUGGCUUAAUCGUGCUCACUGAUAACACUGCUUACUGGUCACUGCUUUUUGCUUCCUCGAUUCUGACAUGAUGGGCUGAAAUUGAAUAUAAAUAAUUUGGCAUUGAUGCAAAAGCAUGCAAAAGGGACUUCAUACAUUCCUAUAGGCCAUGCCACCAAUCUGCCAUAACCAACAACCACAUGAAACGUGACGGUCAUUUCGGCAAGGACGUGCAUGUGAUUUUUCUCCCAGCUGCCAGUAUACCAUGUCCGUUAAAGUUGAAGAUCAGAAUUUUGGUGUGACAUGUGUUACUUGGAAAUGUGAAAUGAGUUACAAAACCUGUUCGUUCGAAAAAAUGAACUUUAAGUUGAAUAGAGUUACAAUAAGCCACACAUCUUAGUUUGAAAUCUCCUGGGCUAGUCUCAAUCACUACGCCUAUAAGAUGCUCAUUCGCUUGCUGAACAUCAUAAGUCGUUAAAUCUGAAGGAGCUCCAUGAAAGGCUAUUGAAAAGUAGUUUAGAGAUACAACUUCACUUCGAAAGCACCUUGCAUACGCCAUUUUGCCAAAACGUGUUCCGGUGUUCGCCACAACGGCUUGUUUAGAUGGCCGAUCAAAUUGAGAGAAAUUCCAAUGGACUGAGCUUGGCUGUGGUCUAGUCUCUCUUCGGUUGCCGUCAGAUCAGCCAGGUAUGAUCCUAAAGUCGUUAAGUAAAAUCCCUCCAAUAAAGGCCACAAGGCGUAGGUUUCGAAGGUAUUGCGCACCUCGCUUAAGCUAAAAGCCUAAAAUGGACUGCGCCAGUCACCAUCAGUACACGGAAUUGAAACUAAAGUGAUCUAAUCCACGUAGUUUUAAUACAAGUGAAGAACUUGAAGCCGCAAAUACUGCUUUGUUUGGGUAUUCAACCUCAAUUCAUAUUAACCGGUGACUAUGCUGGAAAGAGUUUUUGUGACCAUGACAAACGGCGUUUAUUUUUGCUGAACUCCAAAUUGAUAUAGGAUCAAAGUUGAACGCAAAGUGCAUGGAAAUAUGGGAAGGCACCAUCCAUGGAAUGUAAACUACAUAGAGAAACAUUUAGCAGUACUGUAAAAGAAGAUUCAUCAAUGAAGCAUUUGAAAGUGAUCAAUGAUUUCUUGGUGAAAGUGUUCAGCUUUUUGUAGCAUGUCUGUUUCAACGCGAAGUUGCUCCAGCUUUAGGCGUCUCCGGUCAACCUCCACCUAUUGUACGUGAAUAGUAUUUCAGGUAAAGCAACGCCUGACUGCAGCUUGUAUGAUUUGUAGGAUUUUAAGACGUACCAUUAGUUGACGCUGAUCCUGUUCCUUUUUUUUCCGUAACGCAUCGAGUAAGAGCCGGUAACCAAUGGCUCGUUUCUUCUCGAUCUCUACAGCUACCGCCGUCCUUCUGGCUUCUUUUUUGAAAGCAUCAACCGUUUUCUCAAAAUUUUUCGUUGCUAUAAAGUAAAACGUUAGAUUAUCUUGUGCAUGUUCUGAAAUUAGAAAUAAACGCAAUAGUUAGUGUUUGAAAAUUAAAA